rnacentral:lncRNA from 1 species
GGAGAGCCAGUUGUUAGCCAUGUAGCAGCACGGCACCAGUCGGGGGGCUUCCGGGAGCAGGCACCAGUCGGGGGGCUCCCGGGUCCGUGAGGUGGGGGCUAUGCUGGCCAGUUCUCCUCAAACCCUCGAGCUGCUGCCUUCGUGAGGAGAGUGGAAGGUGGGAAAGUCCAGUUGAGGCUUCCAACCCUCUGGUGUUUAAAACGCGGACAGAACCAUGGGGGAGAGUUCGACCUGCAGGUUCCUGGACCACGACCUGGAGGCGGAUGCAGGGGUCCAGGGUGGGGCCUGAUAGAUGCUGAGGAGGGGUCUUGAGGAGAGCCCCUCUGUGGGGGCAGUGCCUGGGUGCCCCUCAGGGUGCCUGAG